AUGGUCAAGGAUCUCUUAGUCGACAAUAUUGAUGGUCAUGUCAUUUAUUUCUAUAAGGAAGUAAUCAGGAGUGCCAAACAAGUUAAUACCAAACAAGAUAAAAUAGAUAAGAGUAAACCAGUUGUUGGCAUGCCGGUUGUUUCUGUUAAGAUUGGGGAUCAUUGCUAUCAUGGCUUAUGUGAUAUGGGUGCUAGUAUAAGUGCUAUUCCGUUUUCUUUAUAUCAACAAGUUAUGAAUGAUAUUGCACCUGCUGAAAUAGAGAUAUUGAUGUUACUAUUAAACUUGCAAAUAGAGACACUAUUUCACCGCUUGGGAUCGUUAGAGAUGUUGAAGUAUUUUGUGGUAAGAUUAAAUACCCUACAAAUUUUCUAG
rnacentral:rRNA from 1 species